UACGUAGGGUGCAAGCGUUAUCCGGAAUUAUUGGGCGUAAAGAGCUCGUAGGCGGUUUGUCGCGUCUGCUGUGAAAACCCGAGGCUCAACCUCGGGCCUGCAGUGGGUACGGGCAGACUAGAGUGCGGUAGGGGAGAUUGGAAUUCCUGGUGUAGUGGUGAAAUGCGUAGAGAUCAGGCAGAACACCUGGGGCGAAGGCGGCCGGGCUGGGCCGAUACUGACGCUGAGGAGCGAAAGCGUGGGGAGCAAACAGG
rnacentral:rRNA from 1 species